AGGGUGUAAACGCUGCAGACUUGGUGUUGGAAAUCCUUCGAGGGUAUUCAGUGCCGGAGAGAAGUUGUUAAGUCUGCUACUUGGGGAGUACGUCCGCAAGGAUGAAACUUAAAGGAAUUGGCGGGGGAGCACCGCAACGGGAGGAGCGUGCGGUUUAAUUGGAUUCAACACCGGAAAACGCACCAGGGGAGACUGUUACAUGAAACCCAGACUAAUGAUCUUGGUUGAUUUUCAGAGAGGAGGUGCAUGGCGUCAGUGACU
rnacentral:rRNA from 1 species